GGGGAAGGAACUUCUACUAAGACCGCCCACGUCCUGUGGGCAACAUAGAAGUCAGUACAUCCUGUACA
rfam:Virgibacillus necropolis strain LMG 19488 chromosome, complete genome.